GAUGAAGAACGUAGCGAAAUGCGAUAAGUGAUGUGAAUUGCAGAAUUCAGUGAAUCAUCGAAUCUUUGAACGCACAUUGCGCCCGCUAGUAUUCUGGCGGGCAUGCCUGUCCGAGCGUCAUUUCAACCCUCAAGCCCCCGGGCUUGGUGUUGGGGAUCGGCGAGCCUCCGCGCCCGCCGUCCCCUAAAUCUAGUGGCGGUCUCGCUGUAGCUUCCUCUGCGUAGUAGCACACCUCGCACUGGGAAACAGCGCGGCCACGCCGUUAAACCCCCAACUUCUGAACGUUUGACCUCGGAUCAGGUAGGAAUACCCGCUGAACUUAAGCAUAUCAAUAAGCGGAGGA
rnacentral:misc_RNA from 1 species